UUUUUUAAGAAAUUAUUUAAAAUAAAACCUGCUCAAUGUAUAAUAAAUAGCCGCAGUCAACUGUGCUAAGGUAGCAUAAUCAUUAGCUUUUUAAUUAAAAGAUAGAAUGAAUGGUUAUAUGAAAUAUAAGUCGUUUCUAUUAAAAUUAAUUAAUUUUUAAUUAAAGUUAAAAUACUUUAAAUUAUUAGAAAGACGAUAAGACCCUGACAAACUUAAUAUUUAGCUGGGGUGGCAAAUAAAAUAAACCUUAAUUAAUAAUUAGAAUUAAAAUUCUAUUUUAAAUAAAAAUAAAAGUUACUGCAGGGAUAACAGCGCAAUUUUUUUUUAAAGUUCAAAUUAAAAAAAAAGUUUACGACCUCGAUGUUGAAUUAAUAUUCUUUAUUUAGAGCAAAAUCUAUAACAGAUAGUCUGUUCGACUAUUAAACAAUU
rnacentral:rRNA from 1 species